AUCCAGCUGACAAGUCUCAAACAUGACCAAAUACGCGUCCUGGAU
rnacentral:hammerhead_ribozyme from 1 species